GUGGGGAAUAUUGCGCAAUGGGCGAAAGCCUGACGCAGCGACGCCGCGUGAGGGAUGAAGGUUUUCGGAUCGUAAACCUCUGUCAGAAGGGAAGAAACUACAUUGUGCUAAUCAGCAGUGUACUGACGGUACCUUCAAAGGAAGCACCGGCUAACUCCGUGCCAGCAGCCGCGGUAAUACGGAGGGUGCAAGCGUUAAUCGGAAUUACUGGGCGUAAAGCGCACGUAGGCUGUAGUGUAAGUCAGGGGUGAAAUCCCACGGCUCAACCGUGGAACUGCCUUUGAUACUGCACAACUUGAAUCCGGGAGAGGGUGGCGGAAUUCCAGGUGUAGGAGUGAAAUCCGUAGAUAUCUGGAGGAACAUCAGUGGCGAAGGCGGCCACCUGGACCGGUAUUGACGCUGAGGAGCGAAAGCGUGGGGAGCAAACAGGAUUAGAUACCCGUGUAGUCC
rnacentral:rRNA from 1 species